GACGAACGCUGGCGGCGUGCUUAACACAUGCAAGUCGAACGGUGAAGCCCCAGCUUGCUGGAGUGGAUCAGUGGCGAACGGGUGAGUAACACGUGAGCAACCUGCCCCUGACUCUGGAAUAAGCGCUGGAAACGGCGUCUAAUACUGGAUACGAGAAGGGUCCGCAUGGGCACUUUCUGGAAAGUUUUUCGGUUGGGGAUGGGCUCGCGGCCUAUCAGCUUGUUGGUGAGGUAAUGGCUCACCAAGGCGACGACGGGUAGCCGGCCUGAGAGGGCGACCGGCCACACUGGGACUGAGACACGGCCCAGACUCCUACGGGAGGCAGCAGUGGGGAAUAUUGCACAAUGGGCGAAAGCCUGAUGCAGCGACGCCGCGUGAGGGAUGACGGCCUUCGGGUUGUAAACCUCUUUCAGCAGGGAAGAAGCGAAAGUGACGGUACCUGCAGAAGAAGCACCGGCUAACUCCGUG
rnacentral:rRNA from 1 species